rnacentral:rRNA from 1 species
CACCGCGGUUAUACUGGUGGCCCAAGUUGUUAGAAGUCGGCGUAAAGGGUGGUUAAGAGCAAACUUAAGAUUAAAGCCGAACACCUUCCAGACUGUUAUACGUAUCCGAAGGCAAGAAGCUCAAUUACGAAAGUAGCUUUAUAUUUUCUGAACCCACGAAAGCUAAGGUACAAACUGGGAUUAGAUACCCCACUAUGCUUAGCCAUAAACAUUGACAGUACUUAACAUUUUCUGUCCGCCCGGGGACUACGAGCACCAGCUUAAAACCCAAAGGACUUGGCGGUGCUUUAGACCCACCUAGAGGAGCCUGUUCUAGAACCGAUACUCCCCGUUCAACCUCACCCCUCCUUGCCAAUCCCGCCUAUAUACCACCGUCGUCAGCUUACCCUUUGAGGGACAAAUAGUAAGCAAAACUGGCAUUGCCCAGCACGUCAGGUCGAGGUGUAGCGAAUGGAG